GGGGACCCCUCACAGACGCUGAGAGCAGAUGUGAAGUCUGUGCACUUGAGAGUCCGGGUUGGGGGUGAAGGAGGGUGAGGAGCGCGGAGGCUUGAACAGAAAACCUCCGGGCAGAUUGAAGCGGUGACUCACGUUCUCUUUCUCAGCGAUGGAGAUUAAACUGGGGACUGUCCGCUCGCACCCUUUCUCUUCACCUAAGGACACGACCUAGAGUCCAGAGAUAAUAUAGAUGCCUUUGGUGCCGAAAGCAUCCGGGAAUAUGAAAGUCGAGAGACCAUAUGCUUACAUAGAGUUUCCCAUACUGCCCCAGAAUUUGAGAGGCAAAGCUGAAAGGCAGAAAGAAUGAGGAGCUCUCUGAGCCUAGGGAAUCUGGACUUGCUUGCAAAGCCAGACCGACCGUGAAGUUCCUUCCUUCACACCGCCUUCAUAAAGCUUACCAACCAAGAAAGGGAAGAAGAGAGAGGAAAAGAUCGGGGAGCAGGAAAAUCUGUGACUUGUACUUCCAUGUGGUGGUUUCACACUCUGGGCCUGGCAGGUGAUUAAAGCUGCCUUUUUUUCUAAUGGAUGCUUGACAGUUUUCAGAAACCACUACCAUCUCCAUUCUUUGGUGGUUAUCAUACCAACCUUGAUCUGAACACAAGUGUUUUAUUCUGGCAGUUCUUUACUCUCUCUUUCCAUCCCUAAGAAUCUGGUAAAAGUGAAUGUUAGUCACUCAGUCGUGUCUGACUCUUUGGACCCCAUGCACUGUAGUCCAC
ensembl:lncRNA